rnacentral:rRNA from 1 species
AUACGGAGGAUCCGAGCGUUAUCCGGAUUUAUUGGGUUUAAAGGGUGCGCAGGCGGAAGAUUAAGUCGGCGGUGAAAUUUUGCAGCUCAACUGUAAAAGUGCCAUCGAUACUGGUUUUCUUGAGUGUGGAUGAAGUAGGCGGAAUUUGUGGUGUAGCGGUGAAAUGCAUAGAUAUAACGAGGAACUCCGAUUGCGCAGGCAGCUUACUAGGCCAUAACUGACGCUCAGGCACGAAGGCGUGGGGAUCAAACAGGAUUAGAUACCCUGGUAGUCCACGCAGUAAACGAUGAUUACUCGCUGUUUGCGAUACACAGUAAGCGGCUUAGCGAAAGCGUUAAGUAAUCCACCUGGGGAGUACGUUCGCAAGAAUGAAACUUAAAGGAAUUGACGGGG